rnacentral:tRNA from 1 species
GCCUGGGUGGCUCAGUCAGUUAAGCGUCUGACUUCGACUCAGGUCAUAAUCUAUGGUUCGUGGGUUCGAGGCCCGCGUCGGGCU